AGGACGAACGCUGGCGGCGUGCUUAACACAUGCAAGUCGAGCGGAAAGGCCCUUCGGGGUACUCGAGCGGCGAACGGGUGAGUAACACGUGAGCAACCUGCCCUUAGCUCCGGGAUAGCUCCGGGAAACCGGAAUUAAUACCGGAUACAACACCGGCCGACAUCGGCCGGUGUGGAAAGAAUUUCGGCUAGGGAUGGACUCGCGGCCUAUCAGCUAGUUGGUGGGGUAAAGGCCUACCAAGGCGACGACGGGUAGCCGGCCUGAGAGGGCGACCGGCCACACUGGGACUGAGACACGGCCCAGAGUCCUACGAGAUGCAGCAGUCAGGAAUAUUGCGCAAUGGAGGAAACUCUGACGCAGCGACGCCGCGUGGGUGAUGAAGGCCUUCGGGUCGUAAAGCCCUGUCGGAGGGGAAGAAAGCGGUUUGGCUAAUAUCCAAGCCGCUCUUGACGGUACCCUCAAAGGAAGCACCGGCUAACUCCGCGCCAGCAGCCGC
rnacentral:rRNA from 1 species